rnacentral:rRNA from 1 species
GAUGAACGCUAGCUACAGGCUUAACACAUGCAAGUCGAGGGGCAGCACAGUGUAGCAAUACACGGGUGGCGACCGGCGCACGGGUGCGUAACGCGUAUCCAACCUUCCCGAUACUCUUGGAUAGCCUUCCGAAAGGGAGAUUAAUACAAGAUGGUGUUUCACUUUCGCAUGUUAUUGAAACUAAAGAUUUAUCGGUAUCGGAUGGGGAUGCGUGACAUUAGAUAGUAGGCGGGGUAACGGCCCACCUAGUCUACGAUGUCUAGGGGUUCUGAGAGGAAGGUCCCCCACACUGGAACUGAGACACGGUCCAGACUCCUACGGGAGGCAGCAGUGAGGAAUAUUGGUCAAUGGUCGGAAGACUGAACCAGCCAAGUAGCGUGAAGGAUGAAGGUUCUAUGGAUUGUAAACUUCUUUUAUACGGGAAUAAAACACCUUACGUGUAGGGUCUUGUAUGUACCGUAUGAAUAAGCAUCGGCUAACUCCGUGCCAGCAGCCGCGGUAACAC